rnacentral:rRNA from 1 species
AACGAACGCUGGCGGCAUGCCUAACACAUGCAAGUCGAACGAGACCUUCGGGUCUAGUGGCGCACGGGUGCGUAACGGGUGGGAACCUGCCCUUAGGUUCGGAAUAACUCCCCGAAAGGGGUGCUAAUACCGGAUAAUGUCUUCGGACCAAAGAUUUAUCGCCUUUGGAUGGGCCCGCGUUGGAUUAGCUAGUUGGUAGGGUAAAAGCCUCCCAAGGCGACGAUCCAUAGCUGGUCUGAGAGGAUGAUCAGCCACACUGGGACUGAGACACGGCCCAGACUCCUACGGGAGGCAGCAGUGGGGAAUAUUGGACCACGGGCGAAAGCCUGAUCCAGCAAUGCCGCGUGAGUGAUGAAGGCCUUAGGGUUGUAAAGCUCUUUUACCCGGGAUGAUAAUGACAGUACCGGGAGAAUAAGCUCCGGCUAACUCCGUG